CCGCGGUAAUAUUGGACAAUGGGCGAAAGCCUGAUCCAGCAAUGCCGCGUGAGUGAUGAAGGCCUUAGGGUUGUAAAGCUCUUUUACCCGGGAUGAUAAUGACAGUACCGGGAGAAUAAGCCCCGGCUAACUCCGUG
rnacentral:rRNA from 1 species